CAUUGAUGUGAUGAUGAUAAGCUUUUCAGAAAAUACGAUGUCGACUUAAUAAAACAGACUACAAUUAUCUGAUCAAUG
rfam:Citrus sinensis cultivar Ridge Pineapple sweet orange scaffold00001_contig_361, whole genome shotgun sequence.